rnacentral:rRNA from 1 species
UACAGAGGGUGCGAGCGUUAAUCGGAAUUACUGGGCGUAAAGCGUGCGUAGACGGUUAUUUAAGUCGGGUGUGAAAGCCCCGGGCUCAACCUGGGAAUUGCAGUCGAUACUGGGAAGCUCGAGUUCGGUAGAGGACGGCGGAAUUCCCGGUGUAGCGGUGAAAUGCGUAGAUAUCGGGAGGAACAUCGAUGGCGAAAGCAACCGUCUGGGCCUGAACUGACACUGAGACACGAAAGCGUGGGGAGCAAACAGG